rnacentral:rRNA from 1 species
UACGUAGGGGGCUAGCGUUGUCCGGAUUUAUUGGGCGUAAAGAGCGUGUAGGCGGCCAGAUAGGUCUGCUGUGAAACUCGAGGCUCAACCUCGAGCUGUCGGCGGAAACCAUUUGGCUAGAGUCCGGAAGAGGAAAGUGGAAUUCCUGGUGUAGCGGUGAAAUGCGCAGAUAUCAGGAAGAACACCCGUGGCGAAGGCGGCUUCUGGACGGUACUGACGCUGAGACGCGAAGCGUGGGAGCGAACAGG